rnacentral:rRNA from 1 species
AUUGAACGCUGGCGGCAGGCUUAACACAUGCAAGUCGGGCGGGGUGAUGGUGCUUGCACUAUCACUUAGCGGCGGACGGGUGAGUAAUGCUUAGGAAUCUGCCUAUUAGUGGGGGACAACAUCUCGAAAGGGAUGCUAAUACCGCAUACGUCCUACGGGAGAAAGCAGGGGAUCACUUGUGACCUUGCGCUAAUAGAUGAGCCUAAGUCGGAUUAGCUAGUUGGUGGGGUAAAGGCCUACCAAGGCGACGAUCUGUAGCGGGUCAGAGAGGAUGAUCCGCCACACUGGGACUGAGACACGGCCCAGACUCCUACGGGAGGCAGCAGUGGGGAAUAUUGGACAAUGGGGGGAACCCUGAUCCAGCCAUGCCGCGUGUGUGAAGAAGGCCUUAUGGUUGUAAAGCACUUUAAGCGAGGAGGAGGCUCUUUUGGUUAAUACCCAAGAUGAGUGGACGUUACUCGCAGAAUAAGCACCGGCUAACUCUGUGCCAGCAGCCGCCGUAA